UACGUAGGGGCCGAGCGUUAAUCGGAAUUACUGGGCGUAAAGCGUGCGCAGGCGGUUUUGUAAGCCAGAUGUGAAAGCCCCGGGCUCAACCUGGGAACUGCAUUUGGGACUGCAAGGCUGGAGUACGGCAGAGGGAGGUGGAAUUCCACGUGUAGCAGUGAAAUGCGUAGAGAUGUGGAGGAACACCGAUGGCGAAGGCAGCCUCCUGGGCUAGUACUGACGCUCAUGCACGAAAGCGUGGGGAGCAAACAGG
rnacentral:rRNA from 1 species